UUUUUUUUAAUACCUUUAAUUUGAAAGUUUUUAUUUUUAAAUACCUAUAAUAUUGAAUUUUAUUUCGCUGUACGUUAAUUAAGAUUUUAUAUAAGUUAAUAUAUGGAUAUAUCUGCAUGUAAUGUAACAUUAUUGUAAAGUGAUAUAUAUAUAUAUAUAUAUGUGUAUAUUAUCUAAUUUUUUGUAUAUAUAUACACUCAUAUUUAUAUAUAUUUUUUCUUUUUCUUUUAAAAAAAAAAAAAAAAAACAAAAAAAAAAAAAAAAAAAAAAAAUGGAAAAAGCAAUUAAAGAAAGAAUUGAGAAAUGGAAAAAAGAAAAUGUCACUGAAGGAAAGGAAGUAACAAAUGAAGAUGUUUAUGAAAAUUUGACUGAAUUAAUUUUAGAUGGUAAAAAAUUUAGUACAAUAAAAACAGAAGAUAAUGAAUUAUUAAAAAAUUUUAAGAAUAUAGAAAGAUUAUGUUUAAACCAAACAGGUAUACAAAGUUUAGAAAAUUUACCAACUAUAGAAACAUUAACAGUACUUGAAUUAACUGAUAAUCACUUAAGUACAGUUGACAUAUUAAAAUAUAUUGUUGAACAUUAUCCUAAUAUUAGUACCUUAGAAAUUGGUGGUAAUCAUUUUAAAAAUAUUAAAGAUUUUGAAGAAUUAAAAAACUUAAAAAAAUUAAAUAGAUUAGGUGUACAAUUUAAUCCAUUUGCUGAAGAUGCAAAUUAUAGAAAAGAAUUAUUUGAAUUUUUACCUAAUGUUAAAAUAAUUGAUUGUUAUAAUAAAGAAGGUGUUGAAGUUUUAAGUUCUGAUGAAGAAGAAGAAGAAGAAUUUGAAGAAGAUAAUACUCUGAAAAAUUUUUAUGAAGCUGAUUUUAAAGAAGAAGAUGAAGAGGAUGAGGAAUUUGUACCAAAUGACAAUGAAGAAGAAGAUGAUGAUGAUGAACUUGAUGAAGAUUUAGAAGAAGAAGAACUUGAAGAAUUAAGCAAAGUAGAUUUAGACUCUGAAUUAAAUGAAGCUGAUGGUGGAAAUAAAGAUGAUAAAACCAAUAAAAGAAAAGAAGCUCCUUUAGAUAAUGAUGCUAAUGGAACUGAUCAUAAAAAAGCAAAAAUUGACUAAACUUUUUUUUUUUUUUUUUUUUUUUUUUUUUUUUUUUUUUUUUUUUUUUUAUAAGCAAAAAGGAUACAUAUAUAUAUAUAUAUAUAUAUAUAUUUAUCCUAUUUUUUCUUUUUAAAAGGAAUAAAAUAUUUAUAUAUCAUGUACCCCA
rnacentral:lncRNA from 1 species